rnacentral:tRNA from 1 species
GCGGACGUGGCGGAAUGGUAUACGCACUAGCUUGAGGUGCUAGCGCCCGCAAGGGCUUGAGAGUUCGACUCUCUCCGUCCGCACCA